GGCCCGUUAGCUCAGUUGGUUAGAGCGUCGGCAAUAACGCGAAGGUCGCGGGUUCACCCCCUCACGGGCCA